rnacentral:rRNA from 1 species
GACGAACGCUGGCGGCGUGCUUAACACAUGCAAGUCGAACGGAAAGGCCCUGCUUUUGUGGGGUGCUCGAGUGGCGAACGGGUGAGUAACACGUGAGUAACCUGCCCUUGACCUUGGGAUAACUUCAGGAAACUGGGGCUAAUACCGGAUAGGAGCUCCUGCUGCAUGGUGGGGGUUGGAAAGUUUCGGCGGUUGGGGAUGGACUCGCGGCUAAUCAGCUUGUUGGUGGGGUAGUGGCUUACCAAGGCAUUGACGGGUAGCCGGCCUGAGAGGGUGACCGGCCACAUUGGGACUGAGAUACGGCCCAGACGCCUACGGGAGGCAGCAGUGGGGAAUAGUGCACAAUGGGCGGAAGCCUGAUGCAGCAACGCCGCGUGCGGGAUGACGGCCUUCGGGUUGUAAACCGCUUUCGCCUGUGACGAAGCGUGAGUGACGGUAAUGGGUAAAGAAGCACCGGCUAACUACGUG